UCUGGGUUCCAUACGAACCGCGGCGCACCGUACCGUGCCGUGCCGUCGAACACAAUCCUCUCUGCUCUAUCUCCGGCGUUCAAGCCAUUAAGUGAUCCGUGGAUUCUUGUGAUAUCCGAAAUUGAUUAGAUCAGCCAUUUUCAGUUCUGUCGGUUCGUUUUCGGUUUUCAAAACUUCUUUUAUGAACAAAAUUCUUGCGCGGAACCAUAAAAGUUGCUAUUCCUCACAAGACAAUGUUGCUGAGAACGAAACACAGCAUGCUUGUUGGUUGGAGUCAAAUGCAAAAUCAUAGAAUCAGAAUUUAAGAUUACCAUAUGUAUUUGAGAGCACAGCUGAUGAAAAUUUUACUGAUUGCAAAUGAUAAAUGUUACGAGCAUGGGAAAAGCAUAACCAAUUUUAAAUCAGCUUUUCAGGUAUGCAUUGAUUCCAGAUUCAAACCAUCACUUCCGUUUAGUAUGUUGUUUAUCAUUUGUGAUCAUAGCACUGUCAGGCGGUGUUACUAUUGUGAAUGUUAUGCAAGAAAGCAAAGAAAAUUCUAAUGGGAGAAAGCAAAGUUAAGGUGAAGAUUUUGGUUUGUCCUUUGGCUUUCAAUAAUUUCAAUGCUAAUUAGGGGUUUUUCUUCAUAUGUUUUCUUUCGUGUUUCAACUUCCGAUUACACUCAAUUUUAUGUAUUUGCUGAACGCCUUCUUUGUUUUACAAAAUGUUUCUAUAUUCCCAAAUAGUUGUACCAAGAACCAACACUACUUAGAUCACACGGAUAGUACUUGGACCUA